rnacentral:rRNA from 1 species
UGGGGAAUAUUGCGCAAUGGGGGGAACCCUGACGCAGCCACGCCGCGUGUGUGAUGAAGGCUUUCGGGUCGUAAAGCACUGUUUGGAGGGAAGAAGAACUGACGGUACCUCCCAAGAAAGCACCGGCUAACUCCGUGCCAGCAGCCGCGGUAAUACGGAGGGUGCGAGCGUUGCUCGGAAUCACUGGGCGUAAAGGGUACGCAGGCGGCUCGUUAAGUCGGGUGUGAAAGCCCGGGGCUCAACCCCGGAAUUGCGCCCGAUACUGGCGGGCUUGAGUACGGGAGAGGGAUAGCGGAAUUCCUGGUGUAGAGGUGAAAUUCGUAGAUAUCAGGAGGAACACCAGUGGCGAAAGCGGCUUCCUGGCCCGAUACUGACGCUCAUGUACGAAAGCGUGGGGAGCAAACAGGAUUAGAUACCCGCGUAGUCC